rnacentral:rRNA from 1 species
UACGUAGGGGGCAAGCGUUGUCCGGAAUUAUUGGGCGUAAAGAGCGUGUAGGCGGUCCGGUAAGUCAGCUGUGAAAGUCAAGGGCUCAACCCUUGAAAGCCGGUUGAUACUGUCGGGCUAGAGUCCGGAAGAGGCGAGUGGAAUUCCCGGUGUAGCGGUGAAAUGCGCAGAUAUCGGGAGGAACACCAAUGGCGAAGGCAGCUCGCUGGGACGGUACUGACGCUGAGACGCGAAAGCGUGGAGAGCAAACAGG